GAGAGAGUGUUCUUCAUUUGUCUAGAGAGUUGGGAUUCCUAACUGGAUAUGAAUCAAAGGCCAUGGAGAAAUCUCAUGUGGAAGCGGUAUUAAUUCUUGGGGAACCCUUCAGCAAACACGAACCUUUUAAUUUUUCCACUCAAGACACAACACGGCGAAUACACAAUCUGAUACCAACCAUGCUCAAACACCGCCUCACGGCGCCACCGGAAGAAAGCUAUUCCCUCCAUCGGAAGUUAUCAGGAUCGUUUCUUUUGUGUUCUAAACUCGGUGCGAACUUUGAGUGUAAGGAUUUGUUCGAUGACAUAUGGGAAAACUAUACCUGUAGUGAAUAAAAGAUUUACUUUAAUUUGAAGAGCAGCGCUUGGCAUGAAACUGGUUAUGGUGUUUAAUAUGCAGGAUUGAAACAUGUAUGAAUAUAUCAUUGCCAUAUUAUUAACUAUAUAUCCAUACAGUCACUCCUUGAUGCUAACAACGCAUUUAUUUAUUAGAGAAUUCCAAUCAGGUGGUACUUUGGGAGAAUAUAGUGUUUUGCAUAAACAAUUACUGGUUUUGAUGAUAAUGAUUGCAUGUAAACAUUUUUUAUCAAACUCCUGACUAAGCACAUUAUAUGAAGUAGUUCAGAUAGCAAUCUAUUGGAGGCCAUUGUUGGUCAAAGACCGAGGUAAUCUCUGUUGUCCAUUUACAAAAGGCAUGCAAGGUAAAUAUGUCCAGACAUUAAGAGUAAACAGUGAUGGCAGCUUUUGUAUUUAUUUGAUUUUGAUAUUCUGGAAUGUGAAAUUAUUUUUCCAAUUUUUUGUUUUUUCCGUAAGCAUUGAUAAAACUGAAUUUUUACAGGAACCAUGGUAUCAUUUUGCUAUCAUAAUCAAUGUAUCGUAAUGUACAUGGUUUUUGUUUGCGAUUCUGCGCAGUCAUUGAACAUGUUUGACUGCCACUAGUUAUCAGUGCUGAGUAAACGAGUUGACAACAACAUAUUCAGAAUGCCAUGUAGGGCUGUGAGAUUAAUAGUCCUACUUAAGUGUUAUUAUUCAACUUUAAUACAAGCAUAGUUUGAAAUAAAGGAAUGUUCAAUAUAUCUUCUGGAAUAAAGCUUUUUCUAAAAAUUUAAAA